GACGAAAGCAGAAGAGGCAGUAACUCCGGCCAGAGAGGAAAAAAGCCACCUUUGGGAGCAGCGGAGCUUCUCAGCUGGCCAGGCGGGAGCCAACCUAAGGUGUGGGUUGAAGAAAGAAGACAUGAGAUUUGGAGUCAAACAGGCAGGAGUUCUAACCCUCCUCUUGCUAACUUGUGAUCCUUGGUUUCAGAAAUGGAAAAUGGGUUCCUGCUCGUUUAUAACAGAGGGCCAACACCUCUCUCUCCUAGGAUUUGGGAGACUUUCUUCUCAUGCCUUUCCUAUUCAUUUUGGGUAUGAGCUGAGUAGGAGAGAAAGGUAUCUUCUUACUGGAUAGCUGAUCAUUCUAUUAAUGAAGAAUAAUCUUGGAGAUUAAUUUGUGCUAGGAACCACAGCCAACUCCCACUGGAAUUGUCUAUCAAGAGUAAUAGGAUUGGCCAUUUUUCUGAAAAUCCUGCUUCCUUUUAGUUGGAAAUGUUAUCUACUGGGCCCAAAUUUGAUGCUAGAAGUUUUCAUUGCUAUUUGGUUCUUGUGGUCAAUUGUUCCAGAGGUGGAGGCUGCGACUCCUUCCAUUGAGUAUGCCCUUUUGUAAUGAUGUUUACUACUCCUUUCAUCAAGACGUGGCAUCUGUUUCCCCUGCCACUGUGUAUGAGCCGGCCCUGUGAUUUGUUUUACCUAUUACAGUGUAGUGGAAGUGACACUUUGUGAAUUCCAGACCUAGACCUUAAGAAGUUUCCAUUGUUUGUCUUCUGGGAAACCUGUCACUACCUAAAGAAGUCUGGGCUAUAUCUCUGAAGAGAAAAGCCUUGGAAGAUAUGACUCCAUGUAGAGAGGGAGACCAUGUGGAGAACAGCCAAUGAUCCAGAUACAUAAAAUGACCACGAAAAGAAAGGCUACUCAUCCCAGAAACUGCACCAACCAUUUGAGCUGAUCCUCUGGCCUCUACCAAGCUUCCCAGGCAACACUAUGGAGAACAGAGAUGAGCCAUCCCUGCUGAUCCUUUCCUAAAUUUCUGUUCCUCAGAAUUGUGAGUAAUUUAAUGUUCAUUGUCUAAAGCCACUAAGAUUUUUUUAACACACCAAUAGACAACUUCUUUGAUUUUAUAUUUUCAUCUCUUUUUGUUUUACUAAAAAUCUUUAUUAAUACUGAUGUUUAUAUACAAUACAUUUUUAUGUUUAUCUCUUCUAUCUGUGUAUGUAUGCAUGUGCAUGUUUUUAUUAGCUUCAGAAUAAAAAUCCUAAUGUUUAAGGUUUUUGACACCACCUUAUAAACUAAUUACCCUUCUCAUGGGAG
rnacentral:lncRNA from 1 species